GCCCCCAUAGUGCUAGUGGUAACACGGUAUCUUGGUAAGAUACUAUCGUCAGUUCGAUUCUGACUGGGGGAUC
rnacentral:tRNA from 4 species